rnacentral:rRNA from 1 species
CUUGAACGCUGGCGGCAGGCCUAACACAUGCAAGUCGAGCGGAGCGGCGGACGGGUGAGUAAUGCCUAGGAAUCUGCCUGGUAGUGGGGGCUACAGUCCGGAAACGGGCGCUAAUACCGCAUCAUAUCAGAUGCACCUAGGUCGGAUUAGCUAUGUGGUGGGGUAAAGGCCUACAAAGGCGACGAUCCGUAACUGGUCUGAGAGGAUGAUCAGUCACACUGGAACUGAGACACGGGCCAGAGUCCUACGGGAGGCAGCAGUGGGGAAUAUUGGACAAUGGGCGAAAGCCUGAGCCAGCCAUGCUGCGUGUGUGAAGAAGGUCUUCGGAUUGUAAAGCACUUUAAGUUGGGAGGCGUUACCAACAGAAUAAGCACCGGCUAACUUCGUGCCAGCAGCCGCGGUAAUAC